rnacentral:rRNA from 1 species
AGGAAUAUUGGUCAAUGGGCGAGAGCCUGAACCAGCCAAGUAGCGUGAAGGAUGACUGCCCUAUGGGUUGUAAACUUCUUUUAUAAAGGAAUAAAGUCGGGUAUGGAUACCCGUUUGCAUGUACUUUAUGAAUAAGGAUCGGCUAACUCCGUGCCAGCAGCCGCGGUAAUACGGAGGAUCCGAGCGUUAUCCGGAUUUAUUGGGUUUAAAGGGAGCGUAGAUGGAUGUUUAAGUCAGUUGUGAAAGUUUGCGGCUCAACCGUAAAAUUGCAGUUGAUACUGGAUAUCUUGAGUGCAGUUGAGGCAGGCGGAAUUCGUGGUGUAGCGGUGAAAUGCUUAGAUAUCACGAAGAACUCCGAUUGCGAAGGCAGCCUGCUAAGCUGCAACUGACAUUGAGGCUCGAAAGUGUGGGUAUCAAACAGGAUUAGAUACCCUGGUAGUCCACACGGUAAACGAUGAAUACUCGCUGUUUGCGAUAUACAGCAAGCGGCCAAGCGAAAGCGUUAAGUAUUCCACCUGGGGAGUACGCCGGCAACGGUGAAACUCAAAGGAAUUGACGGGGGCCCGCACAAGCGGAGGAACAUGUGGUUUAAUUCGAUGAUACGCGAGGAACCUUACCCGGGCUUAAAUUGCAGAUGAAUUACGGUGAAAGCCGUAAGCCGCAAGGCAUCUGUGAAGGUGCUGCAUGGUUGUCGUCAGCUCGUGCCGUGAGGUGUCGGCUUAAGUGCCAUAACGAGCGCAACCCUUGUUGUCAGUUACUAACAGGUUCUGCUGAGGACUCUGGUGGGACUGCCAGCGUAAGCUGCGAGGAAGGUGGGGAUGACGUCAAAUCAGCACGGCCCUUACGUCCGGGGCUACACACGUGUUACAAUGGGGGGUACAGAGGGCCGCUACCACGCGAGUGGAUGCCAAUCCCCAAAACCUCUCUCAGUUCGGACUGGAGUCUGCAACCCGACUCCACGAAGCUGGAUUCGCUAGUAAUCGCGCAUCAGCCACGGCGCGGUGAAUACGUUCCCG